AAAAGAAAACAUUGAAAAACAUGACUUCCCAGAUUCCAUAGCAUCAAGGCGGCGGGGGAGAAAUCCAGCUGUCCCAGGAAGCACACGGAUCCCUCUCCGGGGGUGACAGAAGGUAUCCCCCAUGGUAUUCCCGAGGUAUAUCCCAUGAAGAAUGAAGAAUACCUCAGAUUAGGACUGGGAUAUCUGAUUUCCUCCCAUCUCAGGGCUAUAAUUCAAGUACUGAGGCAGUCUCUGUUCAGCUCUCUUGAAUCUAGAGUAUUGUUGAGAUAUUUUAGAAUAAAAUCCAGAAUACAGUUGACGCUAGAAGAUUCUAGAUUUUUUUCUAUAAUGUUUAAUCUCUAUUCUGCAACUGUACUCUACAAGACUUAGAUUUUUUUCUAUAAAUCGACAACAUGGAUGAAAUGGCCGUUAAUUUUUUCAUGAUACCGUUUGAUUAGCACCAUUCACCUCUUCUAUUUAUAGACAAUUCAUUUGAAAAGCAGGGGCGGAGUGUUCCCCAUUCUAUUUUUCGGGUUUGCCUGUGAUUGUCAUGUUUCUGGAUUUUAUUUGGAUUGUUCCCUAUUCUAUUUGUUUUUUGGUUUGUGUGUGAUCCUCUUAUGUUUUUAUUCAGUUUUUGUGUUUGGAUAUUUUUCUUUCUCAAUUUUCAUGGUAUUUGUGGAUGGUGAAUUUUGAACGGGGCACUGAGGAGGGCAGAGCUAUACAUCCAUUAUAUUUGUAGUUGCAUUUCCUCUAAUAUGCAAGGAGGUAUUCGAUCACGGGACCUAUUCCGCCAGAGCUCGAGUACUUGGACAUUGCUGGUGCUAAUCUUUCUGUCGUACUGCCACAAGUUGAACAGGUCUUUUAGCAUAUCUACUGUAUGCUUUUAGGAUGUAGAAUCCGUACAGGCAUGUUUGUAAAUAACAAGGUAUUUGUUUUUUUCAAGUUUCUUGUUUGUUUCAUAAAAGCAAGAUCUCUAAAAUGUGUGUUCUAAUUGGUAUAUAGACAAAUGUGUAUGGUAUGACUAAGGAAUAUGGAGAAAGUAUUUUCCAUUCAAAAUUAUUGGCGAAGUAUUUGUUGGCCAUUUCCUGUCUUUUGCAUACAGUUAAGAUGCUAAUGACAAGAAAAAACUUUGUUUGUGUGUGACUGGGUUUGCCCCACUCAAAAUCUAGCAAGAAGUUAAUAACAGGAAAAUAUGGUGGAACCCUAAUGGUUUCAGAAUUUCUUAC